AUGAACGCUGGCGGCGUGCCUAAUACAUGCAAGUCGCGCGAACAGACGAGGAGCUUGCUCCUCUGACGUUAGCGGCGGACGGGUGAGUAACACGUGGAUAACCUACCUAUAAGACUGGGAUAACUUCGGGAAACCGGAGCUAAUACCGGAUAAUAUAUUGAACCGCAUGGUUCAAUAGUGAAAGACGGUUUUGCUGUCACUUAUAGAUGGAUCCGCGCCGCAUUAGCUAGUUGGUAAGGUAACGGCUUACCAAGGCAACGAUGCGUAGCCGACCUGAGAGGGUGAUCGGCCACACUGGAACUGAGACACGGUCCAGACUCCUACGGGAGGCAGCAGUAGGGAAUCUUCCGCAAUGGGCGAAAGCCUGACGGAGCAACGCCGCGUGAGUGAUGAAGAUCUUCGGAUCGUAAAACUCUGUUAUUAGGGAAGAACAAAUGUGUAAGUAACUAUGCACGUCUUGACGGUACCUAAUCAGAAAGCCACGGCUAACUACGUG
rnacentral:rRNA from 1 species